rnacentral:tRNA from 1 species
GUCCCUAUCGUCUAGCCCGGCCUAGGACACCGGCCUUUCACGCCGGCGACGGGGGUUCGAAUCCCCCUGGGGACGCCA